UACGUAGGGGGCAAGCGUUGUCCGGAUUUAUUGGGCGUAAAGAGCGUGUAGGCGGCUGGGUAGGUCCGCUGUGAAAACUCGAGGCUUAACCUCGAGACGUCGGUGGAAACCAUCCAGCUAGAGUCCGGAAGAGGAGAGUGGAAUUCCUGGUGUAGAGGUGAAAUUCGUAGAUAUUCGGAAGAACACCAGUGGCGAAGGCGGCUCACUGGCCCGUAACUGACGCUGAGGCACGAAAGCGUGGGGGAGCAAACAGG
rnacentral:rRNA from 1 species